CGUGAUAACCCGUUUUUGUGUGUGUGUGCGUCUUUUACGCAUUUCUUAUCGUUGAACUCGACCAUCGCAUCACAAAGUCGUGUAAUUGCGUUUAGAUUUUCUCGUCAAACGCGAUACGAAAAUUGAUAAUUCGACCGUGAGAAAAGCAUCAUUUGACAAUUGGGGAGGGGGGUGAAAGAGAAAAAUUGCCCGUGAUGACGUCACACGCGACACACGUGAUUACCUUCAUACGGCAAGGUCGCCACCUAUCGAGCGCGCAAAAGCCACACCACGAUAAACCACCUCGUUUCACCCAAGUUUGGUAAGAAGAAAAAGAAGAAAAAAGAAAAAAGGAAAAAAGAGCGCCAGUGCUCUUUUUCUUUAGUUAGCCACGGCCCCCGCUAGAGCGACAUUUUGCAGCAGGGCACCCUACUUUCCCUCGGCCCUUCUCUCUCUCUCCUUCCGUUUGGUAUGUUUCACUUGAAACAUUGUUUUUCUUCUUCGUCACACCAUUUUCUCUCGUCAAAGUGGGCCACGACGUGACAAACCAGAGAGAAGAAGAAAAAAAAGGGAAAUCGAAAAUACUUAAAACAUUUGUAGAAAAACAAAACAAAAACUGACCUGCAAUUGCUCCUAUUCCAUCGUUGGCGCAAUUCAGCUGUUCCUUGUUGCUGAGAGAAACCAUCAGGAGUGGAUCGGGAUGGUCAAAGUCUGUCACUGUGUGGCUACUGGCACCCCAACUUCCCGCCACUCCACCACUGCAUUCGAAAUCCAUCAGAUUUUCUUCGAAUCCGCACGGCAUUGCGACUGUUAAAGGCAUUUGAGGCUAUUGCGUGUAAAAUGUCGUAAUUUCUUUUCCUUUUUUCUAGGGGCUUUUACCCCAGAAGUGGGAUAUUGGAAUUCACUGCUGAUUGUGCAAAACGGAACGACGUCGUUGAUGAAACACACUGAACUUUUUUUUUUUUUCGUUCUCUAGAAAACCAACGAAGCGCAGAUUUGAAGAAACAAAAACAACGAAAAAAAAAACGGAACUUUUAGUUUUUUUUUUUUUUUUUGCUUGGUGCGACGAUUUGAGAUGUGCGACUGAUCUGGCCGAACGGGGCGGACUGACUGACGUGCGAGCCGAGGGAGACCGCAGUGUCUAUAGGACAUGUACACACACAACCAGUGUAGUACUGUAUAUCUAUUCUCUACGUGUUGUGUGUGUGAAUAUGCAGCAGCGCCACCACUAUCCCACCACCGUUAAAAAAAACAGCGGAGCUCUCCUUUCUUUCUUUUCUUUUUGUCUCUUGCCAUUCGUAUCAAACGUACUGAAUGUUUCACCAAGAAAUCAAAAUGUUUUGCCUAUCCUUAUCUAUUAUCGUUUUUUUUUUUUCCUUUUUUCGAUGAUACCAACAAACGAGAAAAAAAAAAACCCAAAACAACAUUGCAACAUCAGCUGUAAUUGAAACCCCUAAGGGCAACAUGCACCGGGCAGCUGGUCACCUCUCAUCAUGACGUCUUUCAAUUUUGUUUUGCUCUUUUUGAAUUCUUCUGGUCUAAUAAUGGCGGCGCGCGUGGAAAUUUUCCUCAAAACAAUUUUCAAUAUUUGCGAUAGUGGCAGACGACGCAACUAGUAAGGAUUCGUCCCAAAGAUAAACUCACGCUUAGAGUCCCCCCCACUCUUUUCUCUUCAGCCAAGUCUGGACUGGUUUUUUUUUUUUUUGUCUCUCUGUGGUUCUCGAAUCCAAUUAACCGAAAAUUGUUUCUUCUUUUUUAGAUGCAAAAUGGCAGACAGCGACUUGAUGUUUUGACGGAGGAAAUAGGGCAAAAAAAAAUUUUUUUUGGGCGAGCAUAAAAUCAAAUAUUUUUUCAGAGAAAAUUACACAAAAGCAUUUUAAGAAAAUAGUUUGAAAAAUCAAAAAUAAUAAUAAUAAAAAAAAAAAAGGGGGAAAGAGGAGAGGGACUGUUGGGGAGCUUGGCGCUGUCAUCAUUGUUGCUGCGCGCGGCCUUGCCCCCUCUCUCUUCUCUCACUUUACACGUACACACACACGCACACACACCCAAAACUUGUUUUCUAUCUCUUUUUUCACUGUACACACAGACACACGCUUUCCAUCAGUUUUUUUUUUAAUUUUAUUUUCGCCUUGAGACAAAAAUCGUCCCUUUUUCUUCGCAGAAGACGAAGAGAAAGGAAGAAAGACCAAAAAAAUCUCUUCCUUAAAAAAAAAAAAUUAAAAAGAUGAACAAAAUAGUUGUGUGUGUGUCCGGAAGUAACCAUUACUUUUUUUCUUCUCCCCCGUGUGUCGCAUUCCUAUUUGGCUCGCACCCUGCAGAAAAAUCAAAAAUUUGUAUUUCUUGUUUGCCUUGUCCCUAUUUAAACGCGAGUGUUUUCUUCCUAGACUUGUGAAACGAGCGAUGUUGCCUUUUUUUAUUUAGUAUAUUUCAAUUGCGCAUUAAUAAUCAGCUGUUGAACAUUGCCAGCGAAAGUUUUGGUCUUUCCGGUCGUUACGCGCCCUUCGUCCGUGCCACUUCGUAACCUUUCAACAUCCACUUUAACGAUGCUAAUUUUGAUUUUAUAUGUAAAAUAUUCGCUAUCGACGAAAUCCGAAAAAUGAACUUUGUCCGCACUGUAAUAGCAGUCAAAGUUCAUUUAUAACAUCUCUUUAAAAAAUAUGGACAACAUUGAUUCGAAUCGAUGAAACAGAUUGAAAUUGGAAGAAAGAGAAAUGGACGCUGAAUCCUCCCAAUUGGAUCCAACGUGCUAGUCCCGUCUCUCUCUCUCUCUUAUGUAUGAGAAGGUCACGUAGACCACUCGCAGUCCCCCCAGCUUCUCCCUUUGUGUGUGUGUAUGUGAUUAGCCCUGGGCAUCUCCCCCCUCUCUGAGCUCUCCCGGUGAGGAGUUUUUUAUUUUUUCGAAGGAAAAGAGAGACUUGUCAUGUUAUACACUCUCUUUUCUCAACCGACACACAUACACACACACACACGAUGGUUCCAGUUCCCCCCCAUUCUGUGUGUGUGUGUGUGUGUACUAGUCUCCUUUUUUUUCCCGUUUUCUUUCUUUUGUCCCUCAAAAAUACUUUGUCUGGUUUGGAAUGAAAAUUACUUCGACAACAGAUACACACACAUUUGGAGGAAGCAAAAACCUUUUUGAAAAAUAUUUAUAUUUACUUUAAUAUAUUUUAGAAAAAAAAAGAAGGGACGUGGAAACGAAAUUCCCCCCUACUGUCAAAGAGUGUGUGUGUGUGUAGUCCCAUUUGACGCGACUGUGUUUAUUGGGUUCAAGGGCUCCACAAUCGAUAAUCUCUUCAGCAGUACCACGGUUAUCAGGCUAUAUAAG